rnacentral:rRNA from 1 species
GUCUAAGGCUAUACCACCCUCAGUGCUCCCAAUCGUGUCUGAUCUCAGAAGCUAAGCAGGGUUGGGCCUGGUUAGUAAUUGGAUUGGAGACCUCCUGGGAAUACCAGGUGCUGUAGGCU